rnacentral:misc_RNA from 1 species
GCAGGAAAUGCUUCAAAGAUUUUGGGUUAGGGUUAGAAGAAGAUGACGAUGUCGUUUUGUGGGAUUCAGCUUUAGCGUUCGCGUUCUGGUAGAGCUUUUUUAACCCCAAGAGCUCCUUCCAUCGGCUUGAACACCUGGGGGCUUUGGGAGAAAACAAGUAGGGGUCAGUAUUAGAUAUUUCCAUCUCCAUUCUACGGCAAGACUUCGCAGUCUCCGGCGACCUGAUCUCGCUCAGAGCAUUGGCAGGUUUGGCGCUCGUAACUUGCAGCGGCAUCAGCAUCCCGUCGGAGAAAAGCUCGUCGGCGGGGAGCAUAGUUACAGGAUCCUCCAGGCGGAACUCAAAGUCAACAGAAUCCAUAAUCUCGGACGGAACUUCAGCUGGAGUAUCGCAUGAGGCGGUCUUAGAGGAUCCAGGUUGCUUGGAGGCAUCCUCUUCACGGCUGAAGGAUAUUCGCGGACUCAACCAGCCGUAGGACGGGGAACU